UCUUGACAACGCCGGUAUUUGGAACCUUCGUCCAGAGAACCUCAACUCGUGGUAUCUGGGCCAAGAAGUUUAUGUGCAUGUUGUAAACUCAGAGAAAGACAACAAUGUGGUUGUGUAAAUUGCUGACAAAUUUCAGGUGAUGCCACUCUGGAUUUCUCAUAAGCACACUCUUAAAUCUUGCACCACAUUUUGCAGCAGGUUUAAUAUUAAUUGGGUGCAGUCCAGGAGGUAUGAAAUUUAAUUUUGUGGUUCUUAGUUUUCUUAUAAUUCUAUCCAUCAUAUUCAAAAUGGUCGAUCUUUGUUUGGUUGCAGGCACAGCUAGUAACAUUAUAACAUAUCUUUCACGUGGAGAUGUGGCGCUAUCUGUAAUAAUGACAACUGCAAGUACCCUAACUGCCAUGGUUACAGACAAAAGGUGCUUUAAUUUAUUCCCAGAAGCUAGUCGAUGUACAUAAUAGAGUUGGUCAUGCAGGGGAGUACGCGGUC